rnacentral:rRNA from 1 species
AUUGAACGCUGGCGGCAGGCCUAACACAUGCAAGUCGGGCGCGUGGCGGACGGGUGAGUAAUGUCUGGGAAACUGCCUGAUGGAGGGGGAUAACUACUGGAAACGGUAGCUAAUACCGCAUACCAUCAGAUGUGCCCAGAUGGGAUUAGCUAGUUGGUGGGGUAACGGCUGACCUAGGCGACGAUCCCUAGCUGGUCUGAGAGGAUGACCAGACACACGGGAACUGAGACACGGUCCAGACUCCUACGGGAGGCAGCAGUGGGGAAUAUUGGACAAGGGGCGCAAGCCUGAUGCAGCCAUGCCGCGUGUAUGAAGAAGGCCUUCGGGUUGUAAAGUACUUUCAGUGGGGAGGCGUUACCCGCAGAAGAAGCACCGGCUAACUCCGUGCCAGCAGCCGCGGUAAUAC